rnacentral:tRNA from 1 species
AGCCCUCUGGUCUAAGGGUUAUGAUUCUCGCUUUGGGUGCGAGAGGCUCCCGGUUCGAGUCCGGGGAGGGCCC